rnacentral:rRNA from 1 species
UACGUAGGGUGCGAGCGUUGUCCGGAAUUAUUGGGCGUAACGAGCUUGUAGGCGGUUUGUCGCGUCUGCCGUGAAAAUCCGGGGCUCAACCCCGGACUUGCGGUGGGUACGGGCAGACUAGAGUGUGGUAGGGGAGACUGGAAUUCCUGGUGUAGCGGUGAAAUGCGCAGAUAUCAGGAGGAACACCGGUGGCGAAGGCGGGUCUCUGGGCCGAUACUGACGCUGAGGAGCGAAAGCGUGGGGAGCGAACAGG